GAUGAACGCUGGCGGCGUGCCUAAUACAUGCAAGUCGAGCGAACGGACGAGAAGCUUGCUUCUCUGAUGUUAGCGGCGGACGGGUGAGUAACACGUGGAUAACCUACCUAUAAGACUGGGAUAACUUCGGGAAACCGGAGCUAAUACCGGAUAAUAUUUUGAACCGCAUGGCUCAAAAGUGAAAGACGGUCUUGCUGUCACUUAUAGAUGGAUCCGCGCUGCAUUAGCUAGUUGGUAAGGUAACGGCUUACCAAGGCAACGAUGCAUAGCCGACCUGAGAGGGUGAUCGGCCACACUGGAACUGAGACACGGUCCAGACUCCUACGGGAGGCAGCAGUAGGGAAUCUUCCGCAAUGGGCGAAAGCCUGACGGAGCAACGCCGCGUGAGUGAUGAAGGUCUUCGGAUCGUAAAACUCUGUUAUUAGGGAAGAACAUAUGCGUAAGUAACUGUGCACAUCUUGACGGUACCUAAUCAGAAAGCCACGGCUAACUACGUG
rnacentral:rRNA from 1 species